UUUCCGUAGGUGAACCUGCGGAAGGAUCAUUAAAGUUAUAGUCCCCCGGCCCCUCCGGGCUGGGGUCUUCUACACCACCCUUUGUUUAUUACACCUUUGUUGCUUUGGCAGGCCUGCCCUCGGGCUGCUGGCUCCGGCCGGCUCGUGCCUGCCAGAGGACCUAAACUCUGUUUGUAUAUGAAGUCUGAGUACUAUAUAAUAGUUAAAACUUUCAACAACGGAUCUCUUGGUUCUG
rnacentral:misc_RNA from 1 species